rnacentral:lncRNA from 1 species
CCUGCUCUGGCCAUGCUCUCCAGAGAACAAUGUCUGUUACCAGCUCUGGCAGCUCUGGCCUGGAAAUGGAGCGGGUGGCGUUUGUCCCAGGGCUCGGAACAUCAGCUGUGCAGCCAGCAAAGACAAAUGACCUUGAGCUGGCUUGACCUGCCAUCAUCUCUCAAUUGUUUAUGAGGAAGUUUAUUUCAUAAGCAAAAACCUCCUGCUGAAAAUACAGCUGAAACGCCACAGGAAGCUCCCCUGCAUCCCAGGCAUUGUUUUCCCAGCGGUGUGUUGUGCUGGCGUGAUGCACUGCUGACAGUAGCUAAAUACAGCUGGGACACCAGAUCCACGGGGAAAAUUCAGCCCUGAAAGUGACUCUGUCUGCCCGAGCCACCACGUUUCAAAAAUAUCAACUGCUCCUAAAUUUGUCUGAUGGAAGGAAAAUAUUUCUGUGGUGGCUGUGGCUGGUACAAGGGCAGCUGGAAUUUUGCUGGAUGCUGUUAGGUCUGGAUGUACAGAUGAAGAAGAGCAGAGUUUGCUGGAAAAAAUAUCCCUCCUGCUGUGACUCCAGCAUCUUGGGAUGUGGCAGCUCAGGUGCAGCCCGGUGCUCUGGAUGCCCCCAGGCCGGGAGUGCCAGAAACACAUUUGGACAAAGCACAUGAGUGGAAGAGAGAGAUGUGAC